rnacentral:tRNA from 1 species
AAAGUAUAAUUAAAUAAAUAAUAUAAGACUUUUACUCUAACAUGGUAGAUCCAACUCCUACUUUAAA